UCAGCCAUAUCAUGUUGAAACACCGGUUCUCGUAUGACCCCGAAGUUAAGCAAUGUGGUGACUGGUCAAUACCUAGAUGGGUGACCGCUUGGGAAUACCAGUUGCUGUAAG